UGUUAUGCCAGUCAUUUUGGUCCCUCUCACUUGGAAAUCCGCUUCCCAUUUAUGAAAGGGCUGGCGAUGGACUCGCUCUUCAUCUUCCCUCAAUGCACAGAGCCUGGGCAAACAAGGGAAAGGCAGAGAGAGUGUGCUAUUAAUGUCCUUUCAAGCCGAGGACUCCAGGAAAUGAAAUAAUAGAAAAGGCACCACUUUGAAAUGCAUCCAGGCAUUUAUUGUUAGGCACAGAUGACGCCUUUUGCCUGCGGUGGGCUGGGGAGCGGAGGUCUCAUUUUCUUGGCAGCCAGACAGACUGAAGCGGCAGCACCAUUGGAGGCAGACGCUUUCCAUUAAUCUUCAUGGAGAGGGUCAGCCUUCAGGAGAUGUCACCAGGAGGCUGCAGUGCCACCGCUGCUGGAGUGGGAGGUGCUCCCUGGGCGCUUGGUGGUCCCGUGGGCCAGAACUGAGCUCCAGCCCGCGCUCGGCAAGCCCCUCUGGCUGCAUUUCUCCAUGAAGUGAAAUGCCUGCUUUGGGAGGGUUGAGCACGGCGAGCUCUUGGCUGCAGGGUGCCGAGGGGCUGCACGGCAUCUUGGUGCUGGGGCUCAGCACCCGGGGCCCCGCUGCCAGAUGCCUGCCCCAGCGCUUGUGGGGUUGGACACCAUUCAUGGCAUUCCCCUGAAGGCGGCCGGGGGAGCCCAAGCCCCCUCCUUAGCUCUCCCCAGCCUCUCCGGCACCGUGCCAGCCUGGUGACCUCCCUACCACGUGAGCGUGGGGUCAUUGGGACUGAGAACAACCCAACUCGUAACACAGAUGCUGCCAAAUGACCUCCAGAUGGUAAUGUUUUUUGGAUUCAAACCAGCUCUGCAGAGGUGAAAGGCUGCGUGCUCCAUUACCAGCCCCCUGAGUCACCCAGUCCCCCUGAAAUAUGUCAUGCACACUUCAAACCUUUCCCAUUUUAUAGUCAGAUUUAACUGCUACACAUAACAGCUUAUAUCAACAACAUUCGGAAAAAAUGUCCUAUGAAGAACAGGCCUGAAACGGUAAAUAUUUAACAGGUCCUUUCUGUCCUUUCCUUAUAUGUAUUAAAAUAAUUAGUUUAACAAAGAGGACUUUGUUCCCCUGUGUUUGAGCCGCGACGGUGUCUGGCGCAACAGUGCAGCUGUAAUUCAGUCUCGAGGUUUUGCUGGCAUUUAUACAUGCUGCUUGGAGCUGCUCUCUCAGUUUAUAGUGUCAGCAGAACAUCUUGAUUGAAUUACAACCUUGUAUUCAGUUAGGAGCCAUGUAUUAUUCUAGAUGCAGUUGAGUUGUAGGUAUCUGUCUUUGCUUAU